rnacentral:lncRNA from 1 species
ACACCGAAACUUAAAAGCGUCGAGUGAUCUCCGUAAAGUCCCCCCCAUCCAUAAAUCCAUUCUGUACUCUGAGUUUUUCCUUGAUUAAUCAACUCCUCCCACCUGAAGCAUUCAAUCUAUCUACCUCUUUGUAUCCUACUGUAACCGGCGGAAGCAUUCAAUCUACCUCUUUAUUUAACAAUUGAUUCUUUUUCAGCUCGCUUCGUCUCUUUAAGCGAUCACUUCCUUUUCCCAAUUUCCUUUUUCAGUUACACAGAUUUCAUUUCACUUCGUCUCGCUUAAUAAUGGAGUUAGAAAGGCAGAUCAAACGAUUGUGAUGCUCUUUUUGGCUGCUGAAUCUCGUGC